rnacentral:sRNA from 1 species
GCCGGGCAUGGUGGCGCAUGCCUGUAAUCCCAGCGGCUCAGGAGGAUCACGAGUUCAAAGCCAGCCUCAGCAACUGCAAGGGGCUAAGCAACUCGGUGAGACCCUGUCUCUAAAUAAAAUACAAAACAGGGCUGGGGAUGUGGCUCAGUGGUCGAGUGCCCCCGAAUUCAAUCCCUGGGAAUUCCCCCACCCAAAAAAUAUUGUAGGGGCUGAGCAUGGUAUCACACCUAACUGGGAGGCUGAGUCAGGAGGAUCUCUUGAGCCCAGGAGUUCAAGGUCAUCCUGGGCCACAUAGCAAGUCCUUGUCUCAA